CCAUACAAAGAAUCAAAAUUCCACCCGUUCUACUGACAUCUUGAGACAUGAUGGGAUUUUGCUGCUACUGGCUCCAUGGAAUAAAAGGGACUGCUUCACUGUGUAUUCAUGACAGAGGCAUGACACUCACCCUUGACUGAGCCUGGGGUGACUGACAUGACAUUAACAUGUAAUUCAACAUGCAUGACAGUCAAAUGAGGCCAAAAAUCAUGAUCCAUCCAUCAACAUGGGCCAAUUGGGACAACUAUGGACUUGGCCCAGUUACAUACAUUUAGAAAAUAAUUAUAAUACAACAUAGCAUGUAUAGCAGGUGAGGU
rnacentral:lncRNA from 1 species